CCUACGGGAGGCAGCAGUGGGGAAUUUUGGACAAUGGGCGCAAGCCUGAUCCAGCAAUGCCGCGUGCAGGAUGAAGGCCUUCGGGUUGUAAACUGCUUUUGUACGGAACGAAACGGCUCCUAUUAAUACUGGGGGCUAAUGACGGUACCGUAAGAAUAAGCACCGGCUAACUACGUGCCAGCAGCCGCGGUAAUACGUAGGGUGCGAGCGUUAAUCGGAAUUACUGGGCGUAAAGCGUGCGCAGGCGGUUAUAUAAGACAGAUGUGAAAUCCCCGGGCUCAACCUGGGACCUGCAUUUGUGACUGUAUAGCUAGAGUACGGUAGAGGGGGAUGGAAUUCCGCGUGUAGCAGUGAAAUGCGUAGAUAUGCGGAGGAACACCGAUGGCGAAGGCAAUCCCCUGGACCUGUACUGACGCUCAUGCACGAAAGCGUGGGGAGCAAACAGGAUUAGAUACCCUGGUAGUCCACGCCCUAAACGAUGUCAACUGGUUGUUGGGUCUUCACUGACUCAGUAACGAAGCUAACGCGNGAGUGACGCGNGGNGUACGCGCGAGUAGACGACAANAGAGUGAGNGNGAGAGNGCGACGACGACGACGAGGGAGGAGG
rnacentral:rRNA from 1 species